GACGAACGCUGGCGGCGUGCUUAACACAUGCAAGUCGAACGGAAAGGCCCUGCUUUUGUGGGGUGCUCGAGUGGCGAACGGGUGAGUAACACGUGAGUAACCUGCCCUUGACUUUGGGAUAACUUCAGGAAACUGGGGCUAAUACCGGAUAGGAGCUCCUGCUGCAUGGUGGGGGUUGGAAAGUUUCGGCGGUUGGGGAUGGACUCGCGGCUUAUCAGCUUGUUGGUGGGGUAGUGGCUUACCAAGGCCUUGACGGGUAGCCGGCCUGAGAGGGUGACCGGCCACAUUGGGACUGAGAUACGGCCCAGACUCCUACGGGAGGCAGCAGUGGGAAAUAUUGCACAAUGGGCCGAAGCCUGAUGCAGCAACGCCGCGUGCGGAAUGACGUCCUUCGGGUUGUAAACCGCUUUCGCCUGUGACGAAGCGUUAGUGACGGUAAUUGGUAAAGAAGCACCGGCUAACUACGUG
rnacentral:rRNA from 1 species